rnacentral:rRNA from 1 species
GCAAGUCUGGUGCCAGCAGCCGCGGUAAUUCCAGCUCCAAUAGCGUAUAUUAAAGUUGUUGUGGUUAAAAAGCUCGUAGUUGAACCUUGGGCCUGGCUGGCCGGUCCCCCUCACCGGGUGCACUGAUCUAGCCGGGCCUUUCCCUCUGUGGAACCUCAUGGUCUUCACUGACUGUGUUGGGGAACCAGGACUUUUAC